rnacentral:rRNA from 1 species
CUAGUACGAGAGGACCGGAGUGGACGCAUCACUGGUGUUCGGGUUGUCAUGCCAAUGGCACUGCCCGGUAGCUAAAUGCGGAAGAGAUAAGUGCUGAAAGCAUCUAAGCACGAAACUUGCCCCGAGAUGAGUUCUCCCUGAGACUUUAAGUCUCCUGAAGGAACGUURAAGACGAYGACGUUGAUAGGUCGGGUGUGUAAGCGCAGCGAUGCGUUGAGCUAACCGAUACUAAUGAACCGUGAGGCUUAACCUU